UAUGUGAUCGUCUCUCGCAUAUCAAUAAGCGGAGGAAAAGAAACUAACAAGGAUUCCCCUAGUAACGGCGAGUGAAGCGGGAAGAGCUCAAAUUUGAAAUCUUAAAGGGUUUCCCUUUACGAAUUGUAGUUUAAAGAAGUGUUUUCUGUUGAGGUUUUGGUAAAAGUUCUUUGGAAUAGGACAUCAUAGAGGGUGAGAAUCCCGUAUUUGACCUUUACUUUCAACUUUGUGAUACACUUUCAAAGAGUCGGAUUGUUUGGGAAUGCAGUCCAAAAUGGGUGGUAAAUUUCAUCUAAAGCUAAAUAUUGGCGAGAGACCGAUAGCGAACAAGUACCGUGAGGGAAAGAUGAAAAGAACUUUGAAAAGAGAGUUAAACAGUACGUGAAAUUGUCAAAAGGGAAGCGUUUGACACCAGUGUUGUUUUUCUGAAAAUCAAUUAAAGAACUGUUUAUGCUAAGCUGUUUAGACUUUAUCAGCUAUCUGUUUAGUUUUGAGCUUCUCUUUAAUGCACUUUUCAGUUAACAAGUCAACAUCAAUUUCUUUUGCUGUAAAAAAGCUUGAGGAAGGUGGCUUGAGAUUCGUCUUAAGUGUUUAUAGCCUCUUGCCUAUGCAGUCGGAGAGAUUGAGGUCUGCAGCGUAGAUCCUUCGGGGCUAAAUGCAUUUGUGCUAAGUUAUAGCAUUUUAUAGACAACUUGUUGACUAUGAUUUGUCUUGUAGCUUACUCGCUUAUGUUAUUUUACCUACGCUUAGGAUGUUGAUCUACAGAGCGAGAGU
rnacentral:rRNA from 1 species